rnacentral:rRNA from 1 species
UACCAGCACCCCGAGUGGUCGGGACGAUUAUUGGGCCUAAAGCAUCCGUAGCCGGUCCUGCAAGUCUUCCGUUAAAUCCAGCUGCUCAACAGAUGGGCUGCGGAGGAUACUACAGGGCUAGGAGGCGGGAGAGGCAAGCGGUACUUUAUGGGUAGGGAUAAAAUCCGUUGAUCCAUAGAAGACCACCAGUGGCGAAGGCGGCUUGCCAGAACGCGCUCGACGGUGAGGGAUGAAAGCUGGGGGAGCAAACCGG